rnacentral:rRNA from 1 species
UAAGUCAAAAAGCUUAAAUUUUAUUAAGGGACGAGAAGACCCUAUAGAACUUUAUUAAUUUAUUGGACCACAUAAUUUUUUUAUUUACUUUUGUGGUCCACAUCUUUUAAUUGUGUUGGGGUGACAUAGAAAUUUAAUUAACUUUCUUUUCUUAUAUUCAUUGAUUAGUGUAUUUUUAGAUCCAGGUUUAUCUUGAUUAUAAGUUUAAGUUACCUUAGGGAUAACAGCGUAAUUCUUUUGGAGAGUUCUAAUCGAUGAAAGAGUUUGCGACCUCGAUGUUGGAUUAAAAUUAGUAUUGGGAGUAGAAGAUCAAUUGCUAGGUCUGUUCGACCUUUAAAUUUUUACA